rnacentral:lncRNA from 1 species
CAAAACUUUCACACGUAAACGUCUGACGUCGUAUCCUCACGCAGAUAGAAUCUCCAAACACUUCGCUAUCAUUAUCGAAGUAAGGCGUUUCCGGAUGUGUAACACCGACACCAUAUUGCAUACCAGCCGAAAGCGUAACCCCUCGUUACAUUUUCGUAUAAUGAAAAUUACGCUAUUAUACACUAAGACAAAAAUCGAAUUUUGUGGGAAAACUUAUUCAGUCCGAAGGAAACCGAAUAUGAAGAGGUUAGAAAGGAAAAAGAAGUUUUGUCUGGACAGCUGCUAUUAUCGGAAAAUGAUAUCACAGCCUUGAAACGAGAUUCCGCUUCGAAAGUACAGCAUAGAAAUCUUUACUGAGUUGCCAUUAUAAUACUGUAUUAAAAACUUUCUUG